UACGUAGGGGUCGAGCGUUGUCCGGAAUUAUUGGGCGUAAAGAGCUCGUAGGCGGUUUGUCGCGUUCGGCCGUGAAAACUUGGGGACUUAACUCCAGCUUGCGGUCGAUACGGGCAGACUUGAGUUCGGCAGGGGAGACUGGAAUUCCUGGUGUAGCGGUGAAAUGCGCAGAUAUCAGGAGGAACACCGGUGGCGAAGGCGGGUCUCUGGGCCGACACUGACGCUGAGGAGCGAAAGCGUGGGGAGCGAACAGG
rnacentral:rRNA from 1 species